AGCGGAAACGUGCAUCUGAGCGGAAACACGCGUGAGAAAAAAGGAGCAAACGCCUGAGCGGACACGCCCACACGUGUAGGUAAAAAGUGAGAAUUUUCCGAAAAUUUGGCUAUGACUUCGCGUCUUUGGAUUUUUCACAACGGAACAGAACAUCUACGAUCUUCUAAGCAUUGAGAGCACGGCCUUUUCAAUAGAACAAGGCCAGCCUAUCUGACGCAAUUGUCUGUGAAAACGUAUCAAACAAACGCGACCCUUCCAGGACAGUUGUAUUGAGAUUAUUUGCCGGCGACGAGUCUUCUACAACGCACGUG